CCUACGGGAGGCAGCAGUGAGGAAUAUUUGUCAAUGGACGAGAGUCUGAACCAGCCAAGUAGCGUGAAGGAUGACUGCCCUAUGGGUUGUAAACUUCUUUUAUAUGGGAAUAAAAUGUUCCACGUGUGGGCUUUUGUAUGUACCAUAUGAAUAAGGAUCGGCUAACUCCGUGCCAGCAGCCGCGGUAAUACGGAGGAUCCGAGCGUUAUCCGGAUUUAUUGGGUUUAAAGGGAGCGUAGGUGGAUUGUUAAGUCAGUUGUGAAAGUUUGCGGCUCAACCGUAAAAUUGCAGUUGAAACUGGCAGUCUUGAGUACAGUAGAGGUGGGCGGAAUGCGUGGUGUAGCGGUGCAAUGCUUAGAUAUCACGAAGAACUCCGAUUGCGAAGGCAGCUCACUGGACUGCAACUGACACUGAGGCUCGAAAGUGUGGGUAUCAAACAGGAUUAGAUACCCGAGUAGUC
rnacentral:rRNA from 1 species